rnacentral:lncRNA from 1 species
GCUGGUCGUGCCCUCCAUGGCCCUGGGCUGGUACAACAGUUGUUCUAAUUUAAUCUGUGGAUCUAGUCUCCUUAGUAGUCAUGCAGACUCAGUAGAGAACAACAUUAUGGAGCCUGCUUCUGUGAACAUCCGUCUUUCAGCUUCAAAGCUCUACCUCCAGAACAGCCUUCCUUCGCGGCACAGUGCUUCACCUGAGGAACAUAUAGGCUCUGAGUUCAUUAUUCCAGUGAAACCACGCUAAGGAAAAAAGACUUUCCUACCCUCCUCUCAUCUGUUGAACUUUGGCUUCCUUCACUCUCCCUUGCUCUGCACACCCCAGCUCCUCCGAAAUCAAAUGUCAGGAGACUAACUCCGUGAAGAGUCUCUAAGAACAGAGUCCUAAUCAAUCUUGUUCA